CCCUGAUAGCUCAGAUGGUAAAGAAUCCACCUGCAAUGCAGGAGACCCUGGUUGAUUCCUGGGUCGGGAAGAUCCCCUGGAGAAGGGAAAGGCUACCCACUCCAGUAUUUCGGCCUAGAGAAUUACAUGGACUGCAUGCUGCAGUCCAUGGGGUCACAAAGAGUUGGACAUGAC